rnacentral:snRNA from 1 species
AUGCUUGCUUUGGCAGCACAUGAACUAAAAUUGGAAUGAUACAGAGAUUAGCAUGGCCCUGUACAAGGAUGACAUGCAAAUUCAUGAAAUGUUCCAUAUUUAA